GACGAACGCUGGCGGCGUGCUUAACACAUGCAAGUCGAACGGAAAGGCCCUGCUUUUGUGGGGUGCUCGAGUGGCGAACGGGUGAGUAACACGUGAGUAACCUGCCCUUGACUUUGGGAUAACUUCAGGAAACUGGGGCUAAUACCGGAUAGGAGCUCCUGCUGCAUGGUGGGGGUUGGAAAGUUUCGGCGGUGGGGGAUGGAGUCGCGGCUUAUCAGCUUGUUGGUGGGGUAGUGGCUUACCAAGGCUUUGACGGGUAGCGGGCCUGGGAGGGUGACCGGCCACAUUGGGCCUGAGAUACGGCCCAGACUCCUACGGGAGGCAGCAGUGGGGAAUCUUGCACAAUGGGCGGAAGCGUGAUGGAGCAACGCCGCGUGCGGGAAGAACGCCUUCGGGUUGUAAACCAAUUUCGCCUGUGACGAAGCGUUAGUGACGGUAAUGGGUAAAAAAGCACCGGCUAACUACGUG
rnacentral:rRNA from 1 species